GUCUCCCUGCGGGGUGCGUGACGGAUCCACUUAAACCCACAUUAUAACUCAGGGACGCUGUACUUCAUCUGCCGAUUGCAGGCCUCCCGCCCAAAGCAACGACUUUGCGUGGACGUUGGAAGCAGUGAAUCAGAUGAGAGGCGACCCACCUGCCGUUUCGUGCAGGUUAUAAUUGGGUCCGCACGGCUUUCGCGGGGAGAUU
rnacentral:other from 1 species